AGAUUUUACUAUUUGAGGGAACUUGUUAGUGAUGGAAGGUUGCGAUUGGGAUAUUGUAGAAGUGAGGACCAAGUUGUUGAUUUACUGACUAAGGGAGUCACAAAUGAUGCGUUCAAGAAGUUAAGAUGAGCAUGAGCAUGGUAAACUUGCAUCACUUUAAUUAAGGUGGUGUAUUGAAGUUUGAUGAAGUAAUUCAAGUGUUGUA
rnacentral:lncRNA from 1 species